ensembl:lncRNA
AGCGGGAGCUCCUCGGUGGCCGCACCUGGUGCCCGGCAAAGGCAUUCUUCUAGAAUCCUCCUCCUGGAAGAAAAGAAAGAGGACAGUGGCAAUGAAAGGCAGUGAACAGUUUGCAGGGAUGCAGCUGGAGCCACUGAGCGCUGCUGCUGCUGCCCUACCAGCACACUUCUGCUACUCAAAAUGUUGACAGGGUUGGCCUCAUUUCUUUUUUCCUAGCAGCCACCCAAGGGCACUUCCAGAGAAACUAUUGCUGUGACACUUCUGGCCAAUUUGCAGCUCUGAAGCUUGCGGGAACAUCAAUCAGAGCAGCCUUUUUUGAGCGAGGAUUGCAUUAAGCACACUCAUGUCUCCUGCCUGUGCCCCACAGGACCCCAGUUGGCUACAGGCACCCUGGUUGGCACACAGAGAGUUGGGUGUGGAAGCUCAGCCCCACACUCCCCACAUCACACUGGGCACAUUGAGUCUGCUCCUGCUAUCAGUGUGUGAUUUAUCAUCUCCCCAGCUCUGGCUCAAGGACUCAGCCCAGCACCAGCAGCCCCAGCAGGGAGGGAGAAGAGGCAGCCGCCCACGUUGCCCGGUAUAAAUCUCUUCUCACCGAGAUUAAAACUGGGCUAUUUGGGGCCAAAUUCUUUUAGCAGUGUAAAUUGGCAGAGCUUCAUUGCCUUUCGCAAAGGAAGCUGGCCAUUUGCAUUUAUACCAUCAGAUGGGCAGCUAAUUGCUUGGCAUUCCUUGAAGAUAGGAACAGACGGCAGCAGCACCGGUGAACUGUUACUAUUAAUCUCAGCUGCUCUCAGGAGAGAAGGAGCAGAUUUUCAGAGGCAGUCCUGUGCUGAACUUAGGCAGAGCAAUCCAGCUGUGAGUUGCAGAGGACAGCCCGGGUUCACACAGAUUUAUUCUAUGCAUGGAUGAAUGAAAGGCGGUACCUCAGAGGAACAGAGCUACUGUGCCUGACAUAAUCAGCGUGAAGUCACAGGAAUCAACCAUACCUUGCAUUAUUAUUUGUAGUACUUCUUGCAGUAUGCACUGCCGCAUCUCCAUUGCACAGACAGACUCUUCACCUGUGCUUUUUUAAAUAAAAAACUGCUUCUCCCAGGC